rnacentral:rRNA from 20 species
AUAACGACUCUCGGCAACGGAUAUCUCGGCUCUCGCAUCGAUGAAGAACGUAGCGAAAUGCGAUACUUGGUGUGAAUUGCAGAAUCCCGUGAACCAUCGAGUCUUUGAACGCAAGUUGCGCCCGAAGCCAUCUGGUUGAGGGCACGUCUGCCUGGGCGUCACGC